UGGGGAAUUUUGCACAAUGGGGGAAACCCUGAUGCAGCGACGCCGCGUGAUUUAGAAGGCCUUCGGGUUGUAAAAAUCUUUUCUAUGGGAAGAAAAUGACAGUACCAUAGGAAUAAGGACCGGCUAAUUACGUGCCAGCAGCCGCGGUAAUACGUAAGGUCCGAGCGUUGUCCGGAAUCAUUGGGCGUAAAGGGUACGUAGGCGGGUAAGCAAGUUAGAAGUGAAAUCCUAUAGCUCAACUAUAGUAAGCUUUUAAAACUGCUCAUCUUGAGGUAUGGAAGGGAAAGUGGUAUUCCUAGUGUAGCGGUGAAAUGCGCAGAUAUUAGGAGGAAUAUCGGUGGCGAAGGCGACUUUCUGGCCAUAACCUGACGCUGAGGUACGAAAGCGUGGGUAGCAAACAGG
rnacentral:rRNA from 1 species